rnacentral:rRNA from 1 species
GACGAACGCUGGCGGCGUGCUUAAUACAUGCAAGUCGAACGGUGAUUCUAUAGCUUGCUGUGCUGGACCAGUGGCGAUGGGGUGCGUACCAGUUAAGAACCCUGCGCUAGCCUCUGGGAUAAGCGCUGGAAACGGCGUCUAAUAAUAGCUAAUACCCCAGCAUGUUUGUUAUUGCAUUGGAAUUAUUUUCGGGUUGGGAUGGGACCGCGGCCUAACAGACUGUAGGUGAGGUAAUGGCUCGGCAAGGCGACGACGGGUAGCCGGCCUGAGAGGGAGACGGGCCACACUGGGACUGAGACACGAGCCAGACGGCUACGUGAGGCAGCAGUGAGGAAUAUUGCACAAAGGGCGGAAGCAGGAUGCAGCGACGCCGCGUGGGAGAGGACGGCCUUCGGGGUGGAAACCUCGUUCAGCUGGGAAGAAGCGAAUGUGACGGUACCUUAAGAAGAAGCACCGGCUAACUACGUG